CAAAGCCCGGCAGACACACACACUUAUAGGAACCUUCGGUGUUGAUGCACUUGGCAUUCUUGCAGAGAGACAUCCGGUUGUUCAACUCAUCACAUUCGUUGACAUCUGCAAUAGGACAAAUCAUGCAGGAAGCUGCCUCGGCUUGGCCAGGACUGUCUGCUUCAAUCAUGUGCAAGAUAAAUACGACUUUCUAGAUCUUAAAAAGGACUUUAAAUCUCCUGAGUUUGCAAUAGGGCAAACGUCAGAACAUCUCUCAGGAUGGAACCGAUGGAAUUCACGAUCAGGGUAGACAUUUGCCAAGAAGAUGCACAAGUGCUGGAGGCAGUGUUCUUUCACUUGGAGUUCCCAGGAGCAGAGAAAAGUCAGACUGGCCUUGCCAUCUGAGGUCUGUUUGUUUGCUCUGGCUUUGGAAUGAGCCUUUCAAAAGGGCUCUUGGGGAAUCAAAGGAUCAAGGCAAUAAAAGGGACUCAAAACAUCCUGAUAUAUGAGAAAAAUACAUCAUACUAGUGUUUAAAAAACCUAAAGUCUGUUAAGAAAACAAAUCUUUAAACUGAUUCAGAGCUAGAGUUGAGUAGUACAAAAAACAAUGUAACUAGGCAUCAAGAUAGACUAUUUUAGCUCUUUCUAGAGAGUAAAGUUGUAAACAUAAAUCCAUGGUGACCCAGACCCAUGGCUGAUGUGGCCUCUCAUCCUCUCCCUCCUUCUGAAGACACCACGUAAUACUUUUAAGGGAGGAAAAAAAAAAAAAAUCCACCUAGGGCCAGAAGUCUUCAUCUGGCCUUUGAAGUAAUUCUCCAGUGGAACUGCAGGGGGCGGCAAAAUAUUACUGCUUCUGCAGGGCAGUAAGGUUUAACAAUGAUUUUAAAACAUCGAUGACAGGCCAUUUUAAAAAAUUUUAAAAGGGAAAAAUACAACUGGCCAUCAAGGCUGUCAGCAUAUCCUGAAAGCCAGUUUGAGAAAUACUGAUAAAAUUAGUGUAUGGAACUAUUUCAAAGUCCAAAUAUCAUGGCAAAACCAUUUUAACUUUAUAACUUUAUUACAAAAAUUAGGACACAACGUUAAUAAAAUCAGAAACUCCUACACGUAUUAGGUAGAUUCUCCAAAAUACUUCUCCAGGACUCUAAAACAGCCACAGUCAGCAGAGCACAGCCCCUGCUCCAAAUCGGGCCUCUACCUGUUUCUAUAAAUGAAGUUUCCCUGGAAUACAGGCUCACCUAUUCAUUGAGGACUUGUCUCUCACUGCUUUCUUGAUACCAGAGCAGAAUUGAGUAGCUGCAAGAGAAACUACAUAGCCUGCAAAGCCUAUACAUUUUACUAACUGGCCAUUUAUAGAAAAAGUUGAUCUCUGCUCUAGAAAAUGCCAGCUUGAGAAAUAUUGCUCUCACUAAAGGUAGCACCAGCCAUCAGCUCAGCUUUCUUAAACAGAAAGGCAGGAAGUGGUGAAUCAUAAAGGGGGUAGGAAACCUCAGCCUCUCUUGCACUGUUGACCCAAUAUAAUGAUUUCCUUGGCAGGGCCAGAAAGCCUUUGAUUCUGGUGGAGGAAGGAGGAGCUAUUCCUCCAUCACCUGUAAGAAAUAAAUAUAAAGGCCAUGACAUACUCAAA